rnacentral:rRNA from 1 species
UAGUCCACGCCGUAAACGAUGGUCACUCGCUGCAGGCGAUACACGGUCUGUGGCUGAGCGAAAGCAUUAAGUGACCCACCUGGGGAGUACGUUCGCAAGAAUGAAACUCAAAGGAAUUGACGGGGGCCCGCACAAGCGGUGGAGCAUGUGGUUUAAUUCGAUGAUACGCGAGGAACCUUACCAAGGCUUAAAUGCAUAACGACCGUUCUGGAAACAGAACUUUCUUCGGACGGAAUGCAAGGUGCUGCAUGGUUGUCGUCAGCUCGUGCUGUGAAGUGUCGGGUUAAGUCCCAUAACGAGCGCAACCCCUAUUUUCAGUUGCCAGCGAGUAAUGUCGGGGACUCUGGAAAAACUGCCACCGUAAGGUGAGAGGAAGGUGGGGAUGACGUCAAAUCAUCACGGCCCCUACGUCUUGGGCUACACACGUGCUACAAUGGUCGGUACAGAGGGCAGCCACCCCGCGAGGGGGAGCGAAUCUCCAAAACCGGUCUCAGUUCGGAUCGAAGUCUGCAACUCGA